GAUUAGCUCAGCUGGGAGAGCAUCUGCCUUACAAGCAGAGGGUCGGCGGUUCGAUCCCGUCAUC
rnacentral:tRNA from 1 species